UUGACCUCAAAUCAGGUAGGACUACCCGCUGAACUUAAGCAUAUCAAUAAGCGGAGGAAAAGAAACUAACAAGGAUUCCCCUAGUAACUGCGAGUGAAGCGGGAAAAGCUCAAAUUUAAAAUCUGGCGGUCUUGCGGCCGUCCGAGUUGUAAUCUGGAGAAGCGUUUAUCCGCGUCGGACCGUGUACAAGUCUUCUGGAAGGGAGCGUCGUAGAGGGUGAGANUCCCGUCUUUGACACGGACAACCGGUGC
rnacentral:rRNA from 1 species